rnacentral:ribozyme from 13 species
UACUUUUUUUUUUUUUUUUUUUUUUUUUUUUUUUUUUUUUUUUUUUUUUUUCCACAACGAUGCAUUACAUUCAAACAUGCA